GAUGAACGCUGGCGGCGUGCCUAAUACAUGCAAGUCGAGCGAACGGACGAGAAGCUUGCUUCUCUGAUGUUAGCGGCGGACGGGUGAGUAACACGUGGAUAACCUACCUAUAAGACUGGGAUAACUUCGGGAAACCGGAGCUAACACCGGACGAUAUUUUGAACCGCAUGGUUCAAAAGUGAAAGACGGUCUUGCUGUCACUUAUAGAUGGAUCCGCGCUGCAUUAGCUAGUUGGUAAGGUAACGGCUUACCAAGGCAACGAUGCAUAGCCGACCUGAGAGGGUGAUCGGCCACACUGGAACUGAGACACGGUCCAGACUCCUACGGGAGGCAGCAGUAGGGAAUCUUCCGCAAUGGGCGAAAGCCUGACGGAGCAACGCCGCGUGAGUGAUGAAGGUCUUCGGAUCGUAAAACUCUGUUAUUAGGGAAGAACAUAUGUGUAAGUAACUGUGCACAUCUUGACGGUACCUAAUCAGAAAGCCACGGCUAACUACGUG
rnacentral:rRNA from 1 species